AGCCUUACGGUGGAUCAGAUUCCUUCCACCCAAAUGUUAUUUAUGUGAAAAUAAAAAUGCCACCGCACACGUUUGCUUGAGGAAUCCAUCAGACCAGACCACCUCCAUUUUGUGAGCCCACAGAACCCUCCCCAUCUGGCUCUCCCCUCCUCACCCCUCCUCCUCUCCCAUCCUCUGUGUGGAGAAAACCAUGUUUCAGAACUGUGGGAUGUUUAUGGACGCGGAAUCCAAAGAGUUGCCUUGCUCUCCCUCCUAGGUCAACAAAGGCACCCAUCUUGCACCAUGAACAACAGGAAGGCCUAACCCAGAAGAAGCCUAAGAUGAAAAAACAACACGAUCUGUUACCUUGUACAGACUGGUGGAGAUCGGAGAUUUGAUCGAGGAGUGGCCAGAGACAAACGUUUUCUAGAGAGGCCCCUUUGAGAUGGCACCAUCCUGGGAGAAACGGAACCUGGGCCGCCGUCUCCAGCCCGACUCGUUGGACCAGAACCAGGCGGUGGUUAUAGCCAAGCUAGCAGACUGGAAUCCAGCUACCACAUCAGCAGUGACAAACCCAGUAAACAAGAAUGACAGCCACAGAACGACAGGUCUGCACUCCAACGAGAGACCCCAACACACAGAGGAAACUCCAGGACUGGAAUCUUCAUGUGAAGAAAAUAUCGGUGAUCAUCGGUGACUCCAAUGUGCACAGACUCCUCCGUCCUAUAAAGCAGAGGGGUACAGAUCGACAGAUUUCCAUGAGCGAAAUGUUGCCACCCGGUGAGGCCCAGCUGGAGAAAGCACACUGUGGAAAAUCUGGUUUUAUAACUUUGGACUGAAUACCAGUGAUGGAGCUGAAAAUGGGACUAAAGGCAGAGCAGUAAGCAAUCUUUCUAAGGCCCUUCUUUGUGAAGAACAAGCCACAUCGUUGCAUCUGAACAACUUUAUUACAGGUUUAGAUGAACAGAUUCCUGCACUUCCUACUUUGAUAUUCAGCACAGAGAAGGACAACAUUCACUCGACCAGUAGAGCUGCAAUGUGUAUGUUAGAACAGUGGAACCAGUGUGUAAAUGAGGCAUCCCCCAUAAGCCUUGAAAAGUGGGAGGAGAGUAGUGGUGUGAUUCACCUUUCUUAAGUUCCAAUGCUCAGCGGGUCCUUUGGACAGAAAUAAGUUCUUCUUCUUUCAAUUAUUGUUUAUUCUGUUCAUUGUAGAAUCAGCUAGGCUCCAGUGGUCAGGAGAAGCUUCUGCUAUAUGAAGCUGUUACAGUGCUUUUUGUUACAUUGAACGAGAGUAGUUUUUCUUGUUGCUUGUUUGAUCUACUGCCGUUUAAAAGAUUAUAAUUACUGAAGUGAAUGUGUUUUGAGACAGUUUACAGUGACACUGAAGCUCCACUCAACCAAGUGUGCCUCAACAGUCUGAAAUGAAAAGAUUUUUCUUCCUUUUUUUUAUUUCUCUCCCUCUCAUGCUUCUGUUUGGAUUCCCAUUGGACAAAGCACUUCGGUUUGUGUUAGCAGGCUGAAAACAAUAAUUUUGGAUGUUUCUUUCGGCUCUUGAGGUGCCCUCAUUGAGUGCGGUUUGCUCAGUGUCCUCGAGGGUAUGUGAGGAGCCUUCCAUAGUUGGGUUGUUGUGUUUUUACCCCAGCAGCUAUUCAUCUCCAUCUCAACAGUUCAUGACCAACAUGCCGUGGCUGCCCCCUGUACCUGUUGAGUACCUUUACCCUCAUCCACUGGAGCCUGGACCUCCAGCUGAUUGCAGCCACUUUAGUGCAAGGAGGAUAUGAUUGCGUUUUGUGUGACUGUCUGGCAGUUCACCCUUCCCUUUCUACCCAAACCCAUUUUCCACUCCAGCCUCUACCCCACUCAGUUCAGACCCCUCCUCAGGCAGGGAGGGGUCUGAACUGACUGUCGCAGGAUUCUCAUUAAUACAGGAAAGAAGGGACUGGAAGACGAGAUGAGGACUUUUAGCAAUUCUCCCCACCCCCAACCUUAACCCACCAUCCAGUCCUGCCCCCCUUCUCUCCUCAUACCGGUGCCCACAGUUCAGACCCCUCCUCAGGCCCCUUCCUGCCUGAGGAGGGGUCUGAAGUAUUUCCCAGCCUUAUAAAGAAAGGAGUGUCGGAUGGGGCAGCCUUCCCGAUCUCCAAUCGGGCAGAUUUACGCUUAAAGAAUCCCAUUGUGCUGUGUAAAAGAGAGAAUUACACUGUGUCUCAGCUGGUGGUGGAACCAGACAGUCAGGCAAGUUCAGGACCGUGCACGUCCUCCUGCCUUCAAAAGAGGGGGGAGGAGGAGGUGAAUAGUUCAGCCUUCCUUCUCCCCCCUCACCCUCACCCUUUACCCGUGCCCCUCCCUUUAGGCAGGGAGGGGUCUGAACUUCAUUUCCUUGUUCAUAUUCACGUCCUCCUGCCCUCUAUGAGGGGGCAGGAGGACGUGAAUAUUUCAGCCUCCCUUCUCCCCACUCACCCCUCCUCCUCCUCACCUCCUCUCUUUUACCUCGGCAGCCCAUGACCGACAUGCCGUGGCUGCCCCCUGUACCCGUUGAGUACCUGUACCCUCAUCCACUGAAGCCUGGACCUCCAGCUGAUUGCAGCCACUUUAGUGCAAGGAGAUGAUUGCGUUUUGUGUGACUGUCUUGCAGUUCACCCUUCCCUUUCUACCCUAACCCAUUUUCCACUCCAGCCUCUACCCCACUCGGUUCAGACCCCUCCUCAGGCAAGGAGGGGUUUCAAUCCCAUUUCCCGCACCCCCAACCUUAACCCACCAUCAAGUCCUGCCCCCUUCUCUCCUCAUACCGCUGCCCACAGUUCAGACCCCUCCUCAGGCCCCUUACUGCCUGAGGAGGGGUCUGAAGUAUUUUCCAGCCUUAUAAAGAAAGGGAAGGCUGAAGUGGCAGACCGUCGUGCAAAAAACGAGCAUCUCCUCCAUGCACUGCUUACAGUCAAAUGACAAAAUAUGUGAACUCUUUUUAAACAGGAAAAAGGAAGAAAUUGUACACCAGAGGGUGCUGUAUUUAUUAUGUAGCUGUUUUUUGUUUGUUUUUUUGUUUGUUUGUUGUCUCUUGUUUUUUCUCUCCAUACAGGUGAUCCAGGUGUUUUGUUUGUUUUCUUUCUUUCUUCUCCCCUUUCUCGCCAUCUCUUCUCCCCUCAAUUUUUCUUUCUCUCCCUUUCUUUCUUUCAUUCUUUCUCCCUGUCCUAUCUCCCAGUCAUGUCUGUCCCGACUGUAACAACUGAAAAUAAAAUAAAAUACACAAUUAUAAUAAAGGUCAAUCAAAUGGACCAAUAUGGCAAGGCCAUGAUGAUCCAGUUGGUAAAGUAAAUCCGCUUGGCAUCUCUCUUGGCCUUAAGACAACAAUUCUGAUGGCUAAAGAUCCAAACGGGACAGGGGG